AGUGAACGCUGGCGGUAGGCCUAACACAUGCAAGUCGAACGGCAGCACAGUAAGAGCUUGCUCUUACGGGUGGCGAGUGGCGGACGGGUGAGGAAUACAUCGGAAUCUACUUUUUCGUGGGUGAUAACGUAGGGAAACUUACGCUAAUACCGCAUACGACCUACGGGUGAAAGCAGGGGAUCUUCGGACCUUGCGCGAUUGAAUGAGCCGAUGUCGGAUUAGCUAGUUGGCGGGGUAAAGGCACACCAAGGCGACGAUGCGUAGCUGGUCUGAGAGGAUGAUCAGCCACACUGGAACUGAGACACGGUCCAGACUCCUACGGGAGGCAGCAGUGGGGAAUAUUGGACAAUGGGCGCAAGCCUGAUCCAGCCAUACCGCGUGGGUGAAGAAGGCCUUCGGGUUGUAAAGCCCUUUUGUUGGGAAAGAAAAGCAGCAGGUUAAUACCCCGCUGUUCUGACGGUACCCAAAGAAUAAGCACCGGCUAACUUCGUG
rnacentral:rRNA from 1 species